CGUUGAAACACAGGUUCCCCGUAAGAUCCCCGAAGCUAAGCUACGUCGAGCGUUGUCAGUACUUAGGUGCGUGACCGAUUGGAAAUACCAGGCA